rfam:Oryza sativa Japonica Group DNA, chromosome 8, cultivar: Nipponbare, complete sequence.
AAAAAGACAAACCCUGGGUUUCCGUGUUUAACGUUUGACUGUUCGUCUUAUAUAAAAUCUUUUUAUAAUUAGUAUUUUCAUUGUUGUUAGAUAAUAAAAUAUGAUUAAUACUUUAUGUGUGACUUAUCUUUUUAAUUUUUUUCAUAUUUUUUUUAAAUAAGACGGACGGUCAAACGUUGGACACGGAAACCCUGGGUUUGUCUUUUU